UUGAAUUUCCCAAAGAACUGUGUGGCUUGGUCUCCAAAGUGGCACUUGGAGAGUUGAUAGAAUCACUGAGAAGUGAGGUCUACUGAAAAGCCUUCGCCAUUAGGUGUGCCCUCGAAGGAGCUUGUGGGACUCUCGUCCGAUGUUUUCCUUUGUUUCCUGGUCAUGAGAGAAUCUGGGAUUCACAAAUUUAGAAUAUGACUCCCUCAACACACACAGUUUAAGUUUGACUGGUCCUAAUGGUACAGCAGCAGUCAUGGAAGCGAAGCUCCUGGCAAGCAUUCUUAGGAGGAGGGACCUCACUCAUGAAUAUGCACAGCGUUUCCUACAGGGAGAGCCACCCCAUUUUUCAUCAGGUGUUCUAAUGACAGUUUGUAGAUGGUUUCUGAUGUCAAUAGACACAGAUUGUAACACUGAAUAACAUGGUAGAGGCAA